rnacentral:snRNA from 1 species
NGGAGAUACCAUUAUUGUAAAAGUGGUUUUCCUGGGAUAAGGCUCAUUUAUUGCACUUUGGAUGUGCUGACCCUUAUGAUUUCCCCAAAUAUGGGAAAAUCAA